GGCGUGCAUGGCACAGCGUGCUCUGAGCUUACUGCAUGGAUCGCUGUAAUCCACCUCUGUAUGGGCGCCAGAGUCUGACUGGCUGUUUAUACUGACGGCUACAGUUUGUGGAGAACAUGAGAAGGUCCCUGCUCAUGAGGCUUGGACUACAGUGUGUGAGAAAGUGUCUCACAGGAAAUUUUGAGGGUUUUUCCAGUGAAAUUCCAAAGCUAGGACUGUCUGCAGCCAGAUUCUUUUUUUUGUUUGUUUUUCUUCAAACCUGUCCUGGUUUGGAGGACACAGGGCAGGGGCUUUGAUGUAAUAAUCACCUCCACACCUCAUCAAACCCUUGGCUGGGAUUGGCCUGUACCGGGCUGUCACGAUGGCCUGCCUCACGCCACACGUUGGGGUCGCCAACCCUGUUGUUUCCAGGCCACAGGCUUUUGUUGGAACCACGGGUCAAUCGAUCAUUUUGAUUCAUGUCGGCUACCAAUCACAGAUCAGAGGUGGCCUGUGGCAUUACAAAAGGUCGUGGCUGAAAUUCAUCCUGGGUUUGUUUCAUCCAGGGUUCAGUCAUCUCAAAUCAAACCAAAUGCUACUCGGGACCUUUUACUUGGUGCGACCAAUACUUACUUUGGCUAUAGUUUCAGCCCUUCAAGAACUGCUGCGAUGGAAGCCCCGCGGCCUAAACGAUAGCUCCCACCGUGUCAUUAGGGGCAUGAGGAGAGGACCCCAUGAAAGCACUGCCAAAAAAUCUCCUUGAAGAUCGAGGGAAAGAAAGGCAAGGGGUAUUGAUCCGUCUGUCCACGGAUAUGAUACUUAAGCCCUGGUACUGAGAGCUGGAGAGCCCCUGGAUCCAUAUCUCAAAGACUUUAAUCCUGGCCCCUCUUACAGCUGGAUUGGCCUUCACCUUAACCUCCCGACAACUGCUCCAGCAGAUCAGCCAUGGAAAUGUUAUUCUUCUCACAAGCUGCUUCCCUCCUCCUCCCCUCUUUCUUUCCCCGUGCUUUGUGUUCUUUGCGGUUAUUAACAGGCCUACCCUGCGUUCCCAUCCGAAUUAGGAGUGAGAGGUGAAUUAAUACCUGAUCCUGGUUUUCAUCAUUUUCUGAAAAAAAAAAAAAAAAGUUCUUAUCCUCCUGUUCUUGUAGCUGAAGUUGGAGGGGAAACUUGAAGGAAGCAUGCACACAUUACUGGUGAGCUGGUCAUGUCGGCCUGCUGCUUAUUAUAUGUUAUAUUAGCAUAAUUAGUGUAAGCAAAAGUCAUCCCUGAAUGCAUAUUGGUUGUUGCUAGUUCUUAUACUUCUUUUCAAGCUGCAAAACCACCGUGGAUGUAUAUAGAGAAAUGUUGUAUAUAUAGAGAAAUGCUGGAAUAAAUGGUGCCCCAUUCA